AUCGGAAAGUUCCAUUUGAAGGUGGGAAUGACGAUUCCAGGACAUUCAUUGCCGAUGGGGUCCCAACUUUGACCUUGUGGAUUUUGUGGGUUUUCAAGGAACUCUUGAUUCGACGCAUGGCCGGCACAAGGUUGUACCAUGUCCCAAUAUCAGGGUUCGUGAGGAUUUCGUUCCCGAUAAGUAGAUAUCGGAUUUUAACCUCGGGGUAGAAAGGCACAACAUUGGU
rnacentral:misc_RNA from 1 species